GAUAAACGCUGGCGGCGUGCAUAACACAUGCAAGUCGAACGAUGAAGCUUAAAACAUUUCUUCGGAAUGAACUUAAUUGGAUUAGUGGCGGACGGGUGAGUAACGCGUGAGUAACCUGCCUUGUACAAGGGGAUAGCCGUUGGAAACGACGAAUAAUACCCUAUGACAUCAAAUAAUCGCAUGAUAAUUUGAUCAAAGAUUUAUCGGUAUAAGAUGGACUCGCGUCUGAUUAGCUAGUUGGUAGAGUAAAAGCCUACCAAGGCAACGAUCAGUAGCCGGCUUGAGAGAGUGUACGGCCACAUUGGGACUGAGACACGGCCCAGACUCCUACGGGAGGCAGCAGUGGGGAAUUUUGCACAAUGGGGGAAACCCUGAUGCAGCGACGCCGCGUGAUUUAGAAGGCCUUCGGGUUGUAAAAAUCUUUUGUAUGGGAAGAAAAUGACAGUACCAUACGAAUAAGGACCGGCUAAUUACGUG
rnacentral:rRNA from 1 species